rnacentral:rRNA from 1 species
AACGAACGCUGGCGGCAUGCCUAACACAUGCAAGUCGAACGAGACCUUCGGGUCUAGUGGCGCACGGGUGCGUAACGCGUGGGAAUCUGCCCUUGGGUUCGGAAUAACUCAGAGAAAUUUGAGCUAAUACCGGAUGAUGACGAAAGUCCAAAGAUUUAUCGCCCAGGGAUGAGCCCGCGUAAGAUUAGCUUGUUGGUGGGGUAAUGGCCUACCAAGGCGACGAUCUUUAGCUGGUCUGAGAGGAUGAUCAGCCACACUGGGACUGAGACACGGCCCAGACUCCUACGGGAGGCAGCAGUGGGGAAUAUUGGACAAUGGGCGCAAGCCUGAUCCAGCAAUGCCGCGUGAGUGAUGAAGGCCUUAGGGUUGUAAAGCUCUUUUACCAGGGAUGAUAAUGACAGUACCUGGAGAAUAAGCUCCGGCUAACUCCGUGCCAGCAGCCGCGGU